AUUGAACGCUGGCGGCAGGCCUAACACAUGCAAGUCGAACGAGUGGCGGACGGGUGAGUAAUGUCUGGGAAACUGCCCGAUGGAGGGGGAUAACUACUGGAAACGGUAGCUAAUAACGCAUACCAUCGGAUGUGCCCAGAUGGGAUUAGCUAGUAGGGGGGGUAACGGCUCACCUAGGUGACGAACCCUAGCUGGUCUGAGAGGUUGACCAGCCACACUGGAACUGAGACACGGUCCAGCCUCCUACGGGAGGCAGCAGUGGGGAAUCUUGCACAAUGGGCGCAAGCCUGAUGCAGCCAUGCCGCGUGUAUGAAGAAGGCCUUCGGGUUGUAAAGUACUUUCAUCGAGGAGGCGUUACUCGCAGAAGAAGCACCGGCUAACUCCGUGCCAGCAGCCGCGGUAAUAC
rnacentral:rRNA from 1 species